rnacentral:rRNA from 1 species
UACGUAGGGUGCAAGCGUUAAUCGGAAUUACUGGGCGUAAAGCGUGCGCAGGCGGUUUUGUAAGUCUGUCGUGAAAUCCCCGGGCUCAACCUGGGAAUGGCGAUGGAGACUGCAAGGCUAGAAUCUGGCAGAGGGGGGUAGAAUUCCACGUGUAGCAGUGAAAUGCGUAGAUAUCUGGAGGAAUACCGGUGGCGAAGGCGGCAUCCUGGACCGGCAUUGACGCUGAUGAGCGAAAGCCAGGGGAGCAAACGGG